rnacentral:rRNA from 1 species
GACAGAGGGUGCAAACGUUGUUCGGAAUUACUGGGCGUAAAGCGCGUGUAGGCUGCUUGGCAAGUCGAAUGUGAAAGCCCCCGGCUCAACUGGGGAGGGUCAUUCGAUACUGUUCGACUCGAAGGCAGGAGAGGGAAGUGGAAUUCCGGGUGUAGUGGUGAAAUGCGUAGAUAUCCGGAGGAACACCAGUGGCGAAGGCGACUUUCUGGCCUGUUCUUGACGCUGAGGCGCGAAAGCUAGGGGAGCAAACGGG